rnacentral:rRNA from 1 species
CACGUAGGGUGCAAGCGUUAAUCGGAAUUACUGGGCGUAAAGCGUGCGCAGGCGGUUGUGCAAGACAGAUGUGAAAUCCCCGGGCUUAACCUGGGAAUUGCAUUUGUGACUGCACGGCUAGAGUGUGUCAGAGGGGGGUAGAAUUCCACGUGUAGCAGUGAAAUGCGUAGAUAUGUGGAGGAAUACCGAUGGCGAAGGCAGCCCCCUGGGAUAACACUGACGCUCAUGCACGAAAGCGUGGGGAGCAAACAGG